CCUACGGGUGGCAGCAGUGGGGAAUAUUGGACAAUGGGCGAAAGCCUGAUCCAGCCAUGCCGCGUGUGUGAAGAAGGCCUUCGGGUUGUAAAGCACUUUCAGUGGGGAAGAAAGCCUUGGGGCUAAUACCCUCGAGGAAGGACAUCACCCACAGAAGAAGCACCGGCUAACUCCGUGCCAGCAGCCGCGGUAAUACGGAGGGUGCGAGCGUUAAUCGGAAUUACUGGGCGUAAAGCGCGCGUAGGCGGUCUGAUAAGCCGGUUGUGAAAGCCCCGGGCUCAACCUGGGAACGGCAUCCGGAACUGUCAGGCUAGAGUGCAGGAGAGGAAGGUAGAAUUCCCGGUGUAGCGGUGAAAUGCGUAGAGAUCGGGAGGAAUACCAGUGGCGAAGGCGGCCUUCUGGACGGACACUGACGCUGAGGUGCGAAAGCGUGGGUAGCAAACAGGAUUAGAUACCCGGGUAGUC
rnacentral:rRNA from 1 species